AGUGAACGCUGGCGGUAGGCCUAGCACAUGCAAGUCGAACGGCAGCACAGUAAGAGCUUGCUCUUACGGGUGGCGAGUGGCGGACGGGUGAGGAAUACAUCGGAAUCUACUUUUUCGUGGGGGAUAACGUAGGGAAACUUACGCUAAUACCGCAUACGACCUACGGGUGAAAGCAGGGGAUCUUCGGACCUUGCGCGAUUGAAUGAGCCGAUGUCGGAUUAGCUAGUUGGCGGGGUAAAGGCCCACCAAGGCGACGAUCCGUAGCUGGUCUGAGAGGAUGAUCAGCCACACUGGAACUGAGACACGGUCCAGACUCCUACGGGAGGCAGCAGUGGGGAAUAUUGGACAAUGGGCGAAAGCCUGAUCCAGCAAUACCGCGUGGGUGAAGAAGGCCUUCGGGUUGUAAAGCCCUUUUGUUGGGAAAGAAAAGCAGCAGGUUAAUACCCCGCUGUUCUGACGGUACCAAAAGAAUAAGCACCGGCUAACUUCGUG
rnacentral:rRNA from 1 species